CGAAAUAAAUAAAAGGAAUUUGUGCUGCCUACAGCCUCGUACCUGCUGGUCUGCAAGUGGGACCUCACAAUGAGAUUCUUCUCAGUGCAGCAAAACUCACUGACCACCACUGGCUGUGUUGGACACCUCUCCAGAUUCCUCUGGAACAGUAAAGAGGGUUGUGGAAGUGGAGCAGAACAGGACCAGCUCUGGCAUUUUAUCUGCUGCAGCAGAGAACAUGGAUCUGAAAUUGUAUCCUGAAAUUCUGAGACCACUGGUGAGCUGUAGGAGGCCUUCAGCAACCACCAGCAUUAUUCCAGAAGGAAAAGGUAGAAUUUGCUGGAUGAGCAAGCUGGAAGAA